rnacentral:rRNA from 1 species
AUGCAAGUCGAACGGUAACAGGCCGCUGGGAUCCCUUCGGGGUGACCUUGGCGCUGACGAGUGGCGAACGGGUGAGUAAUGCUUGGGAAUCUGCCCAGUAGUGGGGGACAACCCGGUGAAAACCGGGCUAAUACCGCAUACGUCCUACGGGAGAAAGUGGGGGAUCUUCGGACCUCACGCUAUUGGAUGAGCCCAAGUCGGAUUAGCUUGUUGGUGGGGUAAAGGCCUACCAAGGCGACGAUCCGUAGCUGGUCUGAGAGGACGAUCAGCCACACUGGGACUGAGACACGGCCCAGACUCCUACGGGAGGCAGCAGUGGGGAAUAUUGGACAAUGGGCGCAAGCCUGAUCCAGCAAUGCCGCGUGUGUGAAGAAGGCCUGCGGGUUGUAAAGCACUUUCAGUGGGGAAGAAAAAGUCGAGCUUAAUACACUCGAUUCUUGACGUUACCUACAGAAGAAGCACCGCCAACU